ensembl:lncRNA
GAGAGCUCAAAAUUUGAAUAGCGUGAGCAUGAAAAAAAAAAGAAAAAAUGUAUUGCUAUUCGUGCGCCCUCCUCUUUCCUCUCCCCGUCGACACACUCCUCCUCCAUCCCUCCCUCUUAGAUAUUUCUCCAUGAGCCCCCUAGUCUCGCUCUCUCUCUCUUUUUCCUCUCUCUCUCAGUCGCUCUCUGUCGUCUCACUUUCUCUCUCCUCCCACCUCUGCACACACACACACACACACACACACACACACAUACACACCCACCCCGGAGUCCUUCCCACUCCUUCCCCUCACGCGCGCUUUCUAUCCACUUCCAAGCUCGGUUUUAUUCCUCCUUUUUUCUUUUACUCGCCACUCUUUGCCUGGGUCGCGUCCUCGUGUUCGGAGGCGCCGUCACCCCUCCCCUGCAUGGCGCCCCUGAGAAAACGCAGGCCAUGGAUUGUCCCCGCCUAAUGACAAACUGCUUGUCCUUUCCCGUCAGCGUUUUUUUUCUAUUCUUUUGCAGUAAUUUUUUUGUCAGAGCUUGACCUCUGUUGAGAAAACCCUCUUUUUAUUUUUCAAAAAAAGCAUUUAUGAAGCAGGAAAUGAGGGCUGAAGAAAAGGAAAAGAGUGUCAGAUGAAUGGACAGAGAAAGGGGGACAGAGGCAAAGAAUGAGAGAAUGGAGAGCGUGGUCUGCGAGAGAAAGAGAGAGAGAGAGAGAGAGGUGGGAGAAAGAGUGCCGGUGCUGGCAAGAAAAACAGGAGGGGGAAGAGCAGAGAAGGGGGACCAGUAGGGGAUAAACUUUGGAAGGAGGGACGGCCGGAUAGGAAUCGUCCAAAUCGCAGGGAAAAAGAGGGAAAAGAACAAAACUCUAGAAUGAGAAGAAGCUGGACUUCAUUUCUUUGCGGUCGUAUAUUUUUUUUUCUGGCUCCUUGACAUGAUUUUUCAUCACUUCUCCGAUCACCCUCUCAUUCCUCUGUUGAGGUUCUGAGAGAAGACGUUUUUUAUCAGGAUUGGAUCCAGUCUGUUUUGUACAGAUGUGCAACGCUACGUGUCGCGGUGGACUGCAGCGGCAUCGAUAAAAAAAAACAAUGAUCGGAGUAAAUCUACAAAGCAGUUUCCACUGCAUGAACUCGUCAACCUUUCCAGACAUAACGGAGAGCCAAAAGGAGACUCGGUUCUCUGGAGGGGGCAGUUCCUUUUGGCCAGCUUUGUGAGCUGAACACUUGAACGGUUCAAUUAAAAGACAGCCAAGGUUCGUGACCCCGAUGUAUGAUGCACAAGUUUCAUAAUCUGUUCACAGUCACUGAAAACAUCCAAGACCUGCAGUCAAGAGACAGUCAUCCCCUCGCUGCCUUUUCAUUUGUAGUCUUCCUAAUGCUGCGCAAUGCACCUGAAAAUAUUUGUUCCCUUAAAAUAAUAAAAUAAAUAAAAUAAUAAAAGUGGUGAAAAGUUGUUGUUUUGUUGAAUACCAUGUACAUCCAAUAAAUACUGAAAAUGUUGUUUUGAAACCUGAUUGGAUGCUUUUACUUGUGUUUGUGGUAUGUAAGCAGCAUAGGAUACAUUUUUCCUCACGCAGUCAGCAGUUUAUUGUGUGGUAAACAUUUAAGAACAGCGUGACAAUCAUCAGCGUUUGAAAUUAGGCACCUACAGAAAACACAUAACUCUUCGACAUAUUUUAUUCACGAAGCCGCAGAGGGAGCAGUUUUCAGGUGAUUGAAUGAGAGUGACGUGGUGCUCUUUCAAACUCGGCCAAGGUGGCUCAGUGUUCCCUGGCUCUCUGCCCCCUCCAUGUUUGCG